GGUAUUAAGCUGAAAAUAAGUCCCUAUAGGGGCAAAUAAUGACUACUUUAAAAUAUUUGAGGUCAUCUUAUGUAGGUUAUGUGGUGGAUUUUCCCUGUGAUGCUUCAUAGAAAAUCACUAGGCCUAAUAGGUGAGGUUUCAGAGAGGUAACGUUUCAACUCAAUGAAAGACUUGUCCAGGUAAAGGUAUAUCAUUGGAAUCAGGGCCUUAAUUAUAUGAUGGGACUCAUGCUUUAUCUUGGUUCUAGAGACUGGAUUUGUCAAGUUGGGAACAUAGAAUUAAUUUUUAUGUCAUCUUGGAUAAAACAGAAUAUCUGCACUGUUUUCUCAUUACUUUCUAAGUCAAGUACUGACUGGGUGGAGAAAGAGCUGUCUCCUACCCUUUGUGACUCUUGAAUCCGCUCAGUCUUGGAACUACUGACUCCCCACAUGUUGGGUGAAUCAUGGCACUAGAUAAAGUGAAGUAAAAUCACUCAUCAUCAGGAUUAGUUCUAACAGCAUCUGCAGAAACCAAAGGAGAGCCAUGAUGUGACAGCUCUUUUGAAAACCUCCGUCAGAGUCAUCUGCUUCCUCUCGUUAUGUCUUUCCUCUUCAACUAUUUCCUCAGCCUGUACAUCUGGAGAAUCUCCUGUUCUGCAGUAAGUUAUCUUUGUUUCAUGAAAUCUGUGCAAUUUGUACAACACUUUCAACUAUCUUUAAAAUAGACAACACCCUGUGUGGGUCACACAGAUUGGACCACUGAGUGAAUACGUAGCAUUCUUUUUAACCCUUUUGACAAUGGCUAAGGCCACCAUCACAAGGCAUUGGGUUCAUUUAAAAUUGGUGCCACAUCAUAGGGUUCACAAAUCACAAUGACAUAAAAAGAAGUAUUAUUUUUACCUCUCUCCACACCCACCUUAUUCUUCAUCUAUCCUUCUAGCACUCUAUAGCAAGCAUUUCAGUUCUGCAUAUAUGUAAAUUAAUUCUUAAAUGAUUACAGGGCCAUGGUGGCUUCUUAAAUAGGUGAUAAUUUUUUAAAGAUAUUUUUAAAAAGUCAGUAUUUGGAGUUGUAUAAUCCUUAGACUCCUGAAAACGAAUCUCUACUGUCAAUUAUUUGUAGGCUGAAGUAAAAGAACUGGCCUUGACUCUCAGAUGGAAUAGAUAAAUAUCAAACAUAUGGUUGGUUUUUAUAACCAUAUAAUCCAACUUAAAAACAAGAAUGUACCAACAGAAACUAAAAAGAUCAGCAUAAAACUUUUGUCACAAUAGGCAGGUCCUUUUAAAAGAAGAUGGCAAAUGUUUAGGUCCAUUUACACUGACUUGCUUGCAUUGGCUUCAGAAGAAUAAAGAUAAAAAAUACUGGCAAGAAUAAUCUUUAAGAAAAUAUAACUAGUUCAGAAGUAUUUACUUUGUAGAAAUAAAGUCCCAGGGGCAGAAAUACAGUGACCACAGGUAUGUGAGCUUGUAAAAAAUCUAGUUAAAGGAGAAGGCACAGUAUCACUAAAUCAAAUCAUAAGGUCUGACCACUGAGAUGUUCAGUUUGCUACAACUCAGAACUCCAGGGAGAAAAUGGUUCAUGAUGAACAAUCCAUUAUCCUUAGAUUAUUUGGAGCAAUAAAACACCUGAAAUAUUUCAAAAUGAAGUCAUAAUUCUGAUUGUCAAAAGUUUUAUCUCAUUUAAACUAAACAAUCAAUUACCACAUGUGCUUUAAAAUACAUGUUGUUACUUAACUUGGGUCUUUGGAAGCAGGUGAAUUGAGAGUGGACAGUUAAGUUCCUCCACUUAAUCUUCAACCUUUUCCUUGUGUCUCUGUAUUGCUAAUACAAAUCUUAAGCCAGAGCAUGUUUGUUCUUCAAGGUCUGUAAUAGCAGGUACAAAUCAGCUCUGCUAUGUUGACAGCCUUAAUUGAAUAUGCUCAACAUUAGAUUAAAAAAUUAAAAGUAUAAUUCCUUUCACCUUGCAGGGAUGUUUUAAAGUUAAUUAUAUAAGCCAAAAGAGAGGAAACAAUCAACCUCACCACGUAUUAGGAAUCAUUUUCAUCAUUACCCAUCAUUCUUUAGGAAUCAUGUCAUAUGAUUUAUUACCUAAGUGUUCAAACAUUUUCUUUUUUGUCAAAGUUUAUUACCAAAUGGUCUAUGUAAAAUAUAGUAAGAUUUGUCUCCUUGCCGUGAAACUUAGUUUAUCAUUUAAAAUUUAAAAAUCCAGGAGAGACUUAAUUCGAUGCUACACAAUUAUGGAAGGAGAAAGUGCAGACGUGAGUGUAUUAGAAAAUAUCCUUCCCUCUCUGUUACCUUGUGUCUGGGGUUCAACCCUUUAUAGAGUAUUUUUCCUUCCCCAUAGUGUCAGCACCCCUAAUUUCAUUUGGGAUAUGCUUGUUUUUCAAGACAGAAGGUAAGAUUUUCCUUUUUGUUGUUUAAUUUUUUUUAAUGUUUUAAAGAACUCUAUAAAAGUAAUCAGCAUACACAUUUUUAAAUAUUAAAAUGCAGAUAAUGAUUCCAUUAAUCCCGUCUUUCUGUCCUUACCUUUUAGUCUUUCUCCUCAAAGGCAGUUGCCUUCAACAGUGUAUCUGCUGAUGUAAGUUUGAUAAAUUCACUUGAGCAUCUGCUGAAUUUGUCUAAGUGGAAGUGUCUAGAAAAUCGUUGGAUGUACAGGCCUGAAAUCUAGGAGCGAAAUCUUGGAUACAUGUAUUGCUUUGGGAAUUCUCAAUAUAAGGGUGGUAUUUGGAGCUAUGAAAAUAAUAUCUGUCUCAGUGUUUGCGUUUUCAAAUAUGUGUGGGAGAGCUCUUUGCAAAAGGAUCACAUAAAUGUAGAGUAUUCUUAGAGAAUACAUAGGUUUAAGUGUGCAAAUAGGAAGCUUAGUAUUAAUAAACCUUGGUAGGCCACUGUAUAUCUUGACUACAAGUAACUAGAGACAACAAGAAAAGAGAGAUGAUACAACAAACUGGGUAAAAAACAGCUCAAAGAACAGCAGGAGUGGAAUGGAGGAAAAGAAACUGGAACUCAAUGUUAGGUUUUCUUUUUCUUUUCUUUUUUUUUUUUAGGGCUGCACCCGAGGCAUAUGGAAUUUCCCAGGCUAGGGGUCAAAUUGCAGCUGCAGCUGCUGGCUUAUGCCUCAGACACAGCAACAUGGCAUCGAAGCCGCGUCUGCAACCUACACCCAGCUCCUGGCAACACCAGAUACUUACCCCCCUGAGCGAAGCAUCUUCACGGAUACUAGUUGGAUUUGUUGCCAUUUAGCCACAAUGGGAACUCCUAGGUUUUCUUGAGAUUAAACCUAGACUCUCUGUCCUACAGCCAGCGGUUCAGCAAUUAGAAGGAGGAAUUUGGGGUUAAUGAUUUCUUAAGCAUCACAGGAUUUUCCAUGGAGAUGGACAUAACUAAAAUAGAGUAUUCUUGCAUGAAAAAUUGUACAGUAAGUAAAAUUUGCCUUAACUUCUUUCAAUAUAAGUGCCUUUUCUUUUUAUACUGUGGUUUCUCAGAAUUCUCUGCUUCAGUGUUCUACUCAGUUUCAUCCCUUCUGAUCAAGUUUCUUCAUCUAGAAGUUUUUCCUUCACUUUCAUCAAAACUCACCUGAACUUCCACUACUGUCCAUGAAAGAUUAACUGCUAUGAGAAUUGUUUUUCUACCAAAUACAUUUAUAAAAUGGGACAAAGGACGAAAAAGUUUACACCUUGAACAAGAGGCAGUGCACAACUGUGAUCUCUGAGGUUAGAAAAUAAAUGAGGUAAAUCCUAAAAUGUCCCUAAUUUUCAUGUGCAGGGGCAGUUUGCAGAUACAGCACAUUCAGGGGACAUUCAGCCCAGGUCUAACAAUCUAGCUGAGUUGGUAACUGAACUUAGAGCUAAGGGAGGCGAUUGGAUAAAAUUCAUAGGGCACGAUAUCCAAAAAAGGGGUUGUACACACACACGCAGUGUUUUGGAAGUCUGCAAAAAUGUCCUCUUGAGACUUUGAUUGAAUAGAUGUAUAUAACAGACGAAGUAAAAUGUCAUAAAGCCAAGGAAAACACCAACUAGAGAUAGUAGGAAAUUCUCUGGAGCUCACCUAUAGCUGGGAAGAAUGUGUGUUCCUGGCAGUCAGAGGUGAUAAACUUCAUUAGGCAUGCAGCAUCGGUAGACUCCUCAGAAGUGUAAAGCUUGUUUUAAAACUUCAAUAAAAAAGUGAAAAAGAUAGCUCUGUUUUUAGUUUUUUUAUUGAGAAACUCACAUACUGUCUUCCACAGCUGUUGUACCAACUUACAUUUCCACCAAAAGUGUAAGAGUGUUCCCCUUUUUUCAUACCCUCUCUAGCGUUUAUGAUUUGUACGGUUUUUGAUAGUAGCCAUUCUGACUGGUGUGAGAUGAUAACUCGUAGUUCUGAUUUGCAUUUCUCUAACAGUUGUUGAUGUUGGGCAUCUUUUCAUGUGCUUUUUGGCCAUCUGUCUGUCUUCUUUGGAGACAUCUAUUUAGAUCUUUUGCCCAUUUUUAUUUAUUUUUUAAUAGUUAUUUCCCCAAUGCAAUUUUUCUUCCUACUAUACAGCAUGGUGACCCAGUUACACAUACAUGUACACAUUCUAUUUUCUCACAUUAUCAUGCUCCAUCAUAAGUGACUAGACAUAGUUCCAAGUGCUACACAGCAGGAUCUCAUUGCUAAUCCAUUUCCAAAGUUUCACCCAUUUUAAAAUAUUGGGUUUUUGUUUUUUUGAUAUUAAGCUGGAUGAGUUUGUAUAUUUUGAAGAUUAAUCCCUUGUCAUUUUCUACCAUAUGAUCCAGGAAUCCCCCUCCUGGUCAUAUAUCUGGAAAUAAUCAUAUUUUGAAAAGAUAAAUGCACCAUAAAAUUCGUUGCAGCACUAUUUACAAUAGCCAGAAUAUGGUAGCAACCUAAAUGUCCAUCGAUAGAGGAAUGGAUAAAGAAGAUACAGUGUAUAUAUAUAUGGACAUUAUGGGUAUAUAAAUGAAGAUUACUCAGCCGUAAAAGAGAAUAAGAUAAUGCCAUUUGCAGCAACAUGGAUGGGCCUAAAGAUUAUCAUACUAAGUGAAGUAAGUCAGAUGGAGAAAGAAUAAUAUCAUAUGAUAUCAUUUAUUUGUGGAAUUUUAAAAAAUUAUGCAGAUGAACUUAUUUACAAAAUAGAAACAGAUUCACAGACUUUGAAAACAAGCUUAUGUUUAUCAAAGGGGAAGGGUUGACCAGAUGGACUGGAGGGUUUGAAAUUGGAAAAUGCAUACUUUUGUAUAUGGAAUAGAUGAUAAGUGGGGACCCAAUGCGUAGCACAGAGAAAUCUACUCAAUGUUCUAUGAUAACCUAUAUGGGAAAGGAUACAUGUAUAUGUGUGGCUGAAUCAGUUUGAUGUACAGCAGAAAUUAAUGCAACAUUGUAAAUCAACUAUACUUCCAUAAUUUUUCUUUUUCUUUUUCUUUUUGCCUUUUUUAGGGCUACACUUGAGGCAUAUGGAGGUUCCCAGGCUAGGGGUCCAACUGGAACUAUAAACACCAGCCUACGCCACAGCCACAGCAAUGCCAGAUCUGAGCCACAUCUGCAGCCUACACCACAGCUCACAGCAAUGCCAGAUCCUCAAUCACUGAUAGAGGCCAGGGAUUGAACCUGCAACCUCAGAGUUCCUAGUUGGAUUUGUUUCCACUUAGCCACAACAGGAACUCAAUAAUUUUUCUUAAAAAAUGAAAAAGAAUACCUUGUUCUUUUUUAUGGCUGAGUAGUAUUCCAUUGUGCAUAUAUACACCACAUCUUCCUAAUCCAAUCAUCUGUUGAUGGACAUUUGGGUUGAUUCCAUGUCUUGGAUAUUGUGAAUAGUGCUGCGGUGAACAUGCGGGGGCAUGUGUCCUUUUUAAGGAAAGUUUUGUCCAGAUAUAUGCCUAAGAGUGUAUGUGUUACUGGGUCACCAUGCUGUACAGUAGGAAAAAAGUUGUAUUGGGGAAAUAACAAUUUAAAAAGUUAAAAAAAAAAAAGAAUACCUUGAAAGCAUCAAACUUAUUCUAGGUCAGAAAAAAGCUGCAAACUAUUUUAAAGAAAAAUAUCAUCACUCAAAAUCUCACAAUUCAUAAUUUCUUACAUCUAAUAAGCAUGCAAAAGAGCAGGACUAUAUGGCUUUUUUUUUUUUUUUGUCUUUUUGCCAUUUCUGGGCCACUCCCGCAGCAUAUGGAGGUUCCCAGGCUAGGGAUCGAAUCGGAGCAAUAGCUGCCAGCCUACGCCAGAGCCACAGCAACGUGGGAUCUGAACCGAGUCUGUGACCUACACCACAGCUCAUGGCAACGCCGGAUCAUUAACCCACUGAGCAAGGGCAGGAAUCGAACCCACAACCUCAUGGUUCCUAGUAGGAUUCGUUAACCACUGUGCCACAACAGGAACUCCAUAUAUGGCUCAUUUUUGAUAGAAAAAAAUUAAUAGAAACAGACCUAGAUAUGAGAAAAAUGAUGGAGUGAUCAGACAAAUGCCUUAAGCAUCUAGUAUAAACCUUAAAAACAAAUUUAAGGAUAUUAAGAGAACAUAAGAGAUAGAAACUAUAAAAGUAAAACUUUUAGAACUUCUAGAGAUUCAAGUAUAAUAUUUGAAUGAAAAAUACAUUAGAUGCAAUCAAUUACAGAUUAGAAAUUGCAGAAGGAAACAUUAGUGAACUUGAAGGCAUACCAAUAGAAAAUAUCUAAGAUUUGCUUCAUCAAGGACCUGUGAGAUAAUAAGUUGCCUUAUAUAAAUAAAAUUGGAGUCUGGUAGGGGAGGGAAGAAAGAAUGAUCAAAAUAGAAAUUUCGUAUUGUGGCUCAGUGGUAAUAAGCCCAACUAGUAUCCAUGAGGAUGCAGGUUUGAUUCUUGGCCUUGCUCAGUGGAUUAAGGAUCCAGCAUUGCUGUGAGCUGUGAUGUAGGUCACAGACACAGCCCAGAUCCCACCUUGCUGUGGCUGUGGCAGUGGCUGUGGCCAGCAGCUACAGCUCUGAUUCAACCCCUAGCCUGGGAACUUCCAUAUGGGUACAGCCCUAAAAAAA
rnacentral:lncRNA from 1 species